rnacentral:rRNA from 1 species
UGUUCCGGGUUUAAAGACCUGGAAACCAAAGCCGGGGACCGCAAGGCCUGGCGCUUGAAGAGGAGCCCGCGUCCGAUUAGCUAGUUGGCGGGGUAAUGGCCCACCAAGGCGACGAUCGGUAGCCGGCCUGAGAGGGCGGACGGCCACACUGGAACUGAGACACGGUCCAGACUCCUACGGGAGGCAGCAGUGGGGAAUUGUUCACAAUGGGCGCAAGCCUGAUGACGCAACGCCGCGUGGGGGAUGAAGGUCUUCGGAUUGUAAACCCUUGUCGAACGGGAAGAACGACUCGCGCACUAACACUGCGCGGGACUGACGGUACCGUUAAAGGAAGCCACGGCUAACUCUGUGCCAGCAGCCGCGGUAAUACAGAGGUGGCAAGCGUUGUUCGGAAUUACUGGGCGUAAAGGGCGCGUAGGCGGCCAUCUAAGUCAGACGUGAGAUCCCCCGGCUUAACCUGGGAACUGCGUCUGAUACUGGACGGCUCGAGUUUGGGAGAGGGAUGUGGAAUUCCAGGUGUAGCGGUGAAAUGCGUAGAUAUCUGGAGGAACACCGGUGGCGAAAGCGGCAUCCUGGACCAACACUGACGCUGAGGCGCG